rnacentral:rRNA from 1 species
UUGUUGGUAAGGUAAAAGCUUACCAAGGCUUCGAUCAGUAGCUGGUCUGAGAGGACGGCCAGCCACACUGGGACUGAGACACGGCCCAGACUCCUACGGGAGGCAGCAGUGGGGAAUUUUGGACAAUGGGGGCAACCCUGAUCCAGCCAUGCCGCGUGAGUGAAGAAGGCCUUCGGGUUGUAAAGCUCUUUCAGCCGGAACGAAACGGUUACGGUUAAUACCCGUGACUACUGACGGUACCGGAAGAAGAAGCACCGGCUAACUACGUGCCAGCAGCCGCGGUAAUACGUAGGGUGCGAGCGUUAAUCGGAAUUACUGGGCGUAAAGCGUGCGCAGGUGGUUUUGUAAGUCAGAUGUGAAAGCCCCGGGCUCAACCUGGGAACUGCGUUUGAAACUACAAGACUAGAGUGUGGCAGAGGGGGGUGGAAUUCCGCGUGUAGCAGUGAAAUGCGUAGAGAUGUGGAGGAACACCGAUGGCGAAGGCAGCCCCCUGGGUCAACACUGACGCUCAGGCACGAAAGCAUGGGGAGCAAACAGGAUUAGAUACCCUGGUAGUCCAUGCCCUAAACGAUGUCAACUAGUUGUCGGGCCUUUACGGGCUUGGUAACGUAGCUAACGCGUGAAGUUGACCGCCUGGGGAGUACGAUCGCAAGAUUAAAACUCAAAUGAAUUGACGGGGACCCGCACAAGCGGUGGAUUAUGUGGAUUAAUUCGAUGCAACGCGAAAAACCUUACCUACCCUUGACAUGUAUCGAAGCCCGCAGAAAAGCGGGGGUGCCCGAAAGGGAACGAUAACACAGGUGCUGCAUGGCUGUCGUCAGCUCGUGUCGUGAGACGUUGGGUUAAGUCCCGCAACGAGCGCAACCCUUGUCAUUAAUUGCCAUCAUUUAGUUGGGCACUUUAAUGAGACUGCCGG